UUGUAUGAUAGCUGAACAGGCGUGAUUUUUAAUUUCUAUAUAUGGACCAAAGUUCGUGGGGCGAUACUUGCUAAACGAAACUAAAUUAUUGACAGAUAUAUUAAAGCGUGUUAUCAAUUCGUAUAAAUUGCGACCAUAAAUGCUAUGGAAACAUAAGAUACUUUCCUUUUGUACAGUUCGGUUGUACCAACUUCAUGCGGUCUGUGAGUUUGUAUAUUUUAGCGCUGCUUGAGUGGCAAGUAUGCUUUACAAAUGCGACCGUUUGCUUGUGUGUUGAAGGUCUUAAGUCGACUGAGGUACAUUCCCAACCAGACCUCCGAUCUGACAGCCUCGGUUAUCUUGACAACGGUGAAUGUUUCCAUGGAUAUUAUACGGAAGGAAAUGAUUGGGUCAAAGUAAUCGAUGAUGCGACGGAACUUUACAUUGGACGGGGUUCCUUAUUUCCUUGCGACCCGAAGAUGUUUCCUAAUGAAGAUAUACACGCCCGCUUAAGACGUCCACAAAAAAAAAGAAAUAUUUGGAAAACACUUCUUGCGAAGCAUUGGCUUCAAACGGUUUUUAUUAGAUACCCAUAGUCUGAACCGAGCGCAGUGCAACUUUGAUCUGGACUCGCUGUGUUCCUGGAAAAAUGUCCAUGGUCAGGAUGACUUCGAUUGGGUUCUGUACCAGUCCUCCACACCAACGGACGAUACUGGGCCGGACUUUGAUCAUACCUUGAGAAAUGCCACAGUCAAGCGCACCGAGACGAUUGUUUGACGCAGCCUGGUUACAGAGUCCAAUUAUCGAGGCUACUGGGCAACUCGUUCAAUGUUUCCGGUUUUGGUACCACAUGUAUGAAACAUCUUCAGGCCGACUGGACGUGUACCAAGCGUUGGAAACAUCUGUUCCUGGUAACCUUAUGUGAUUAUCAUUGCGGGGUUUGUCGGCAACGGUUACCUAGGAGAUAUCGCUAUUGAUGACGUCAGCCUCUCCGAUGGCUACUGUGACGUACAACCGCCCAGCGCAUCUAGAUCUGAUGUGUCUAACUCGACAUUGGCCAGAGAAAUGGAAUGGAUGCCAUGGACUACUUGUGACGUAACAUGUGGUGGAGGAACACAGAGUAGAACGCGAGAAUGCUAUAUUCAAUCCAGAGUUACACAUGGGAAUGGUUGCCAGGGGACAGUAAAAGAAGCCCGCACUUGUCAUAGCGAACACUGCCCCGAUUCUGGCAUAUUCAAAAAUGUCUUCUGCAGAAAUGCCACUACAAUUAUAUGCUCGAGUGGUUUUGAAAUUAAAUGCGGGUCAGAUGGACUAUUUUACCCAAACCUGUGCGAACUCGCGAAAGCCAAGUGUUAUGACAACAAUCUGACGAUGGUCGACAUGAGCUAUUGCGGUGCAGGAAAGUAGCCUCUCUGAUAUGUAGAAAACAAUUAUUGAUGAAAAAUGUUUGUGUUGUUACUGUUCCUUUUGUGUCUGUGUUGCAACAAUGUUUUCAGUCGCUUUAUGCAACGCUAUAAUUCUGUUUUAUUAUAUGGUAAAGGGAUACGCAAUACAUAUUACAUUACAUGCUAGCUCAGUUGGUAAAACCUGGACAACAAAUGCAUAGCCCGGCAACAUUCCUUGUGGGAAAAUGACGCUAGCAUCUGUUUAGGACCAUCCCCCGCCACUUCUUCUGAGUCAAGUAGGGCAACGCGACUUACUGACAUAACUGUGUACUCUUAGAACUGAUAAAGGAACUUUCCAAGCAAAAGUAUAAAUUGGUUAACUGACCGCAUCAUAUAACUAAUUACUGUUGACAAUAACUUGCAAAACAAACACUAAAACAAUUCGUUUCUUUGAAGAUCUUUUUUCAAAGACAUUAAUAGAUUCCAAGUAAUACUUUUAUAGAAUGUCAUGAGGCAUUGACGGAGCCCGCAGGGAUUGUUUAAAAAGGUGCUCAGUGCCUAUUUAUGUCAAACAUGAGUGAAUUAUUUGCUGAUAAUAAAGAGUGUGCUUGCAUCAACCUCCGUUAGUAAACAUUUGCAGUUUAUAUGUUUUUAGUCUGUACUAGAAAUGGUAUCCGCCUUUCAUCAGGUGUCUUUUAUAAGGGUUUUAUCAGAUCACAAUACUUGAUCAUCAUAUGCCAGGACAUGAAAAUACUGACACGGACACGGAUUUGGGAUUACCACAUCAGUGACUUGGGAGUACUACGUCAUUGACUCAUGAGCAUAUUUUUAAAACGCUAUCCAAACAGUAUAAGAUCAAUUGAAAAGAGAAACAACUUAAAGUACAUGUGCAAUAUUAUCCAACAUAUAGGCACUCAAAAACAGACACAUUUUGUAUAAUUUCGAGCAUGUUUUGUUCCGUUCUUUAUGCUGUUUCUUUAAAUGACAUGUAUAUGUAUGUUUAUGAAAUAAUCCAGAUAUUCAAUUGGAAUACUUACGUACCCACAAAGAAUAUACUCAUGUGUUUGUACUUUGCACGUGCCUUGAUCAUACGUCCAAAUUUAACUCUAGAUUUACCGUUAAAAGUGUAUGACGUAAAUGAGUAAUAAUCCAAUAUAUAUGUGAACUGUUCAACAUUCGGCAACCCUUGAGUUGUUAGAAUUCGAUUAAAUCAGUUAAUGUUAAAAUGGUUUUGAUUUGCAUGGUUAAAAUGCAUGGCGUUCGAAAUUAAAGUCCACGUCAGUCAUCCUGAGUGUCCGACCGUUAAUCCGGAUUAAUAUAUAUAUUUAAAGUCCACAAUAUAAAGAAGUGACCAAUUGCCAAAACAGUCGCAUAUAAUUAAAGUGGAAGUACCGUAAAAUAAAAUAAAAAAUACAAAUAUUAAAGGGGCAGUACUGUUAAAUCGAAUAACCAAUAAAACAAGCUUUGUUAAUUAAAUAUUAUAGAAUCAAAAAUAUAAAAAAGUCAUUCCAUUAAUAAUUCAAAAUUUUAAGAGGUGACAGAUAUAGUGAAUCGAAAACCAACAAGCAUUCGUUUUUUAGUAAGUCAACAUCAUAUUCUUUUAAUGAAAAUGUGUUAAUUAAAUUGAAAAGUGUAAUAUUAACAUUUUCUUUAAGAUAUUUUAAUUUGCAAACACGCUUCAAAACAUCUCCAUAAAAUGAUGCAUGGGUGGGAAAUUCCAUCAGUUAAAUGCCAUUUUAAAGAAACAUUAGAUUUUGAAAUUAAAUCACCAUACUUUGAGUGAAAUUUAGCGAAUUUACGUCGUAGGUUUAGAUAUAAAAAACGUGUUUUAGCAAUUUCUUCGUUAACAUACGAUUACGAUCAUUACAAUCUUAAAAAAUUGAACAUGCUCUGGCGUAACGUACUAACUGCAAAAUGUAAAUAUCAUAAUAUGGACCUUUAGUGCUAUUACCAUCUAACGGAUUUAUUGUUAUUUUGAUAACAAUUUCUAAGUUUAAGUCAUCCCGUUUGUCGUAUAAACUUGUUUUAAUCAUAUUAUUAUUAAUAGUAAGAUACAAGUCUUAUAAUGCUACAACAAGAUUAAGUAAAGUGCCUAUAUGUCUCAUACUAAAAGCGUUAAAGGGCAUAUGCCAUGGUGUAAUAAAGACCGCAAUCCUAAAAGCGUUAAAGGGCAUAUGCCAUGGAGUAAUAAAGACCGCAAUCCUAAAAGCAUUAAAGGGCAUAUGCCAUGGAGUAAUAAAGACCGCAAUCCUAAAAGCAUUAAAGGGCAUAUGCCAUGGAGUAAUAAAGACCGCAAUCCUAAAAGCGUUAAAGGGCAUAUGCCAUGGAGUAAUAAAGACCGCAAUCCUAAAAGCGUUAAAGGGCAUAUGCCAUGGAGUAAUAAAGACCGCAAUCCUAAAAGCGUUAAAGGGCAUAUGCCAUGGAGUAAUAAAAACCGCAAUCCUAAAAGCGUUAAAGGGCAUAUGCCAUGGAGUAAUAAAGACCGCACUCGCGAAUGAUUAAGACUUCUUCAAAAUUGACAUUAACAAUAGUCCACAUUAUAUACAACAAGAUUGAAUGAUGAUUGUCGAUCACGUUCACAUACAUAAUGAUAUUGUUUAUGAAUUGCACACUUAAAUAUAUUUUAAAUAAGAUAAGUGAAUGCACGUGUUUGUGAUUUAACGAAAUAUAAGGUUGCAAAACACCAAGUUGCGUUUAUCUUUAAAAUCUAUCUGACAUCUUGUUCUGUUACGUCUACGGCUGAUACCGACAACGUAAACAGACAUAACAAAGGAUUCUUUUUGUUUCAGAAACAAGACACAAUGCACUGUUGAAAGAGUCAUGUAUGAAGAUUUAAAGAGAGAAAUUCCAAUUAACACCAUGGCACGUGCGAAGUUUUGUAUGUGCAUAUAUACACAAUGUAUACAAAUAAAAUGUCCAAAUACAAUGACACGAUGUCGUGGAAGAUCAAUCAAUAAACGCCGAAAGGAUAUAUGUGUCUGCUGUGACAAUAUCAGACAGUCAAUGCUAACAUGAGAAAAGACGGUUGUUUUUUCCAUCGACAAAGAACAUUUAUUGUCCUGCCUUUCUUUGAGGUAGCUUAUUCGGGGUUUAAAAGUUCAUUGAGCAAAUAAUUACAAUUAAAUUUAAUACCAAGGUUAGUAAAUGUAUCAACAA